GGACCUUUAGCUCAGCUGGUCAGAGCAACCGGCUCAUAACCGGUCGGUCCUGGGUUCGAGUCCCAGAAGGUCCA
rnacentral:tRNA from 1 species